rnacentral:ncRNA from 1 species
UUUAUCCUUGUCUUGGGGAGCUGAGUCUGUCCAUGAUCGUCUAGUGAGACAACUCUGCUGAAACCAAGUAAAAUAUACCCGCACCCGCUUACAAUUUAGCUGAGUGCAAUUUUUGGAAGA